rnacentral:rRNA from 1 species
AGCUCCAAUAGCGUAUAUUAAAGUUGUUGCAGUUAAAAAGCUCGUAGUUGGAUUUCGGGGCGGCCCGGCUGGUCCGUCGCGAGGCGAGCACUGGUCGGCCGCCCUUCCUCUCGAAAGCCCCGACUGCUCUUCGCUGCAGUGGUCGGGUAGUUCGGGACGUUUACUUUGAAAAAAUUAGAGUGUUCAAGGCAGGCUCACGCCUGAAUACAUUAGCAUGGAAUAAUGGAAGAGGACCUCGGUCCUAUUUUGUUGGUUUCUGGGACCGAAGUAAUGAUUAAGAGGGACAGUUGGGGGCAUUCGUAUUUAAUUGUCAGAGGUGAAAUUCUCGGAUUUAUGAAAGACGAACAACUGCGAAAGCAUUUGCCAAGGAUGUUUUCAUUAAUCAAGAACGAAAGUACGC